UUAUUUGAGAGUUUGAUCCUGGCUCAGGAUGAACGCUGGCGGCGUGCCUAACACAUGCAAGUCGAACGAAGCGCCUUUUGAGAUUCUUCGGAUGAUCAUUUGGUGACUGAGUGGCGGACGGGUGAGUAACGCGUGGGUAACCUGCCCUGUACAGGGGGAUAACAGCCAGAAAUGGCUGCUAAUACCGCAUAAGCGCACAUGAGGACAUCCUCAAGUGUGAAAAACUCCGGUGGUACAGGAUGGGCCCGCGUCUGAUUAGCUGGUUGGCGGGGUAACGGCCCACCAAGGCGACGAUCAGUAGCCGGUCUGAGAGGAUGAACGGCCACAUUGGAACUGAGACA
rfam:Eubacteriaceae bacterium CHKCI004 isolate CHKC4 genome assembly, contig: {contig16}